rnacentral:rRNA from 1 species
UGUAGGCUGGUUUUCCAGGCAAAUCCGGAAAAUCAAGGCUGAGGCGUGAUGACGAGGCACUACGGUGCUGAAGCAACAAAUGCCCUGCUUCCAGGAAAAGCCUCUAAGCAUCAGGUAACAUCAAAUCGUACCCCAAACCGACACAGGUGGUCAGGUAGAGAAUACCAAGGCGCUUGAGAGAACUCGGGUGAAGGAACUAGGCAAAAUGGUGCCGUAACUUCGGGAGAAGGCACGCUGAUAUGUAGGUGAGGUCCCUCGCGGAUGGAGCUGAAAUCAGUCGAAGAUACCAGCUGGCUGCAACUGUUUAUUAAAAACACAGCACUGUGCAAACACGAAAGUGGACGUAUACGGUGUGACGCCUGCCCGGUGCCGGAAGGUUAAUUGAUGGGGUUAGCGCAAGCGAAGCUCUUGAUCGAAGCCCCGGUAAACGGCGGCCGUAACUAUAACGGUCCUAAGGUAGCGAAAUUCCUUGUCGGGUAAGUUCCGACCUGCACGAAUGGCGUAAUGAUGGCCAGGCUGUCUCCACCCGAGACUCAGUGAAAUUGAACUCGCUGUGAAGAUGCAGUGUACCCGCGGCAAGACGGAAAGACCCCGUGAACCUUUACUAUAGCUUGACACUGAACAUUGAGCCUUGAUGUGUAGGAUAGGUGGGAGGCUUAGAAGUGUGGACGCCAGUCUGCAUGGAGCCGACCUUGAAAUACCACCCUUUAAUGUUUGAUGUUCUAACGUUGACCCGUAAUCCGGGUUGCGGACAGUGUCUGGUGGGUAGUUUGACUGGGGCGGUCUCCUCCUAAAGAGUAACGGAGGAGCACGAAGGUUGGCUAAUCCUGGUCGGACAUCAGGAGGUUAGUGCAAUGGCAUAAGCCAGCUUGACUGCGAGCGUGACGGCGCGAGCAGGUGCGAAAGCAGGUCAUAGUGAUCCGGUGGUUCUGAAUGGAAGGGCCAUCGCUCAACGGAUAAAAGGUACUCCGGGGAUAACAGGCUGAUACCGCCCAAGAGUUCAUAUCGACGGCGGUGUUUGGCACCUCGAUGUCGGCUCAUCACAUCCUGGGGCUGAAGUAGGUCCCAAGGGUAUGGCUGUUCGCCAUUUAAAGUGGUACGCGAGCUGGGUUUAGAACGUCGUGAGACAGUUCGGUCCCUAUCUGCCGUGGGCGCUGGAGAACUGAGGGGGGCUGCUCCUAGUACGAGAGGACCGGAGUGGACGCAUCACUGGUGUUCGGGUUGUCAUGCCAAUGGCACUGCCCGGUAGCUAAAUGCGGAAGAGAUAAGUGCUGAAAGCAUCUAAGCACGAAACUUGCC